rnacentral:lncRNA from 1 species
CCUUUUGCUCUGCUAGGGUUUCGACCCUAGCAUCCUUGCGCCGCCGUUCAUCAGCCUCCCCACCCAAAGCUCCGAUGACGGCGGAGAUGGUGGUGGCACGACGACCUUGGCGAACAGGUAAGUGUUUUUCCCUUCUUUUCUUUGUUGUUUUAGGUAAAAUAAAAUGAAAAAAAUAAAAGAAAUAUAUAAACAAAAAGAAACGAUGAACACUUCAAAGUAAAAACAAAACCUUCGAAAAAACAAAUUUCCUCUGUAUUUCUCCCUAUUUUCGUAUUUCUUUACACUGAAUCCCCCCUUUCUCUUUACAGAAUAUGGCUUUAUAUAGCCCGAAAAAAAAAAGAAAAUAAAACAAAUAAAAAUUGUUUUCUCUGUUGUUUUUUCUUUUCGGACUCUUUGAGUCCGCAUUUUUGCAGGCGUCGUGGAGAUUUCAACGCGUGCAGAGGUGGUCGACUCCGAGUCCUGCGGCGCCUGGAGAGCAUGCUGGAGGUGGAGCUUGCGGCGCUAAGCUGAACAUGCGGCUAGGGUUUGCUUUGGCUUAAACUUUUGGGCUUGUUGGCCUGUUAUAACUUUGGGCUUAGGGUUAAUGUUUGGGCUCGUGUAUUGUAUUUUUCUGUUUGGUUUUUUUUAUAGGGCCCAGGCUAAUUGUGCCUGCUACAUAAAUAAUUUAGAAUUUAUAUAUUUAUAUAUUUAAAAA